GUUCGGAGAUUUCACCGGUGAUUAUCAAGAGCCAAGUAAAAGUAAGAUAGCUUUAGUGAGGCAAGGUUGAAACUUCGCCGGGCAGAAGAUGACACAGACCUCCAGUCAGAAGCAGAGGAGGGGAGGCCAGUAAAAAGAAAAACCAGACCAAACCAGCGCUUCCUCUCGAGUCAGGAGGAGUCUGAUGAGGAGUCUGUAAAGCGAAAACCAGUCCUCCCUAAGGUGCCCUCCAUUCCACCUCUGCCGUCACUGUUGCAUGAUGCCAUUUCCUCAUCAGAUGAAAUAUCUCCGCCAGCUAGUCAACUUGCCUCUCUGCAGCCGUUUAACGCCCUUGGACCUCCUGAGUCGUCCUACCAUCUUCCCCCUCAGCCAUCUCGCCACCAUGGACCUCCUGAGCCAUCCUACCAUCUUCCUCCUCAGCCAUCUCGCCACCAUGGACCUCCUGAGCCAUCCUACCAUCUUCCCUCUCAAACGUCUCGCCACCAUGGAACUUCUGAGCCAUUCCAUCUUGCCCCUCAUGCUGCUUCUGAGAUGGACCUGCACUCUGCAUUACUACGAGAGAUCAUUGCCAAGCAGGAGGUGAUGUGUGAUAUGCAAAGAAAUCUGCUGCGGAUUGUUCAGGAUCUCUCUUCUACACCUACACCACAUGGACACCAAAUGGACGGAAGUUUCCUGCCGUUGAGGGAUGCUGAGGCUCUUUUGUCGCUGGACCGUGACAUUAAGACAAAGCCAGAGAAGAGAAAGGACUUGUGCUGACACUGGGCCUUGCUGGGGGCGUGACGCUUAAGGACACUGUGUGGAGGGUCAUGAAGAUGCUUCUUCAGAACGACUUGGCCUGCAAAAUCAAUUGGACAGGCCUCCAUGGCAAAACAUCAUCCCAGGGCCUAGAAGUCAAGAAUGUUGUUACAGAAGCCAUUCAGAUAAAUCCUGGAUGCAGAGAAUCUACGAACCAGGAGGUGGAGCAAUGGUUGAGGCGUUGGUUGUAUUUGGCUGGCGAUCGAGAGGGGGGUAGGAAGAGGAGAAGCACAGUCCUCCACCACCAGCGACCCACCAACACAUAGUCAGGCACACAUCAACACAAAGUCAGGCACACACACAUAUACAUUUCACUUUGGCCCGUUUCUGGCCACACUUUAAAGGGUUAGUUCACCCAAUAAUCAAAAUGAUGUAACUAAUAACUCACCCUCAUGUCGUUCCAAACCAGUGAGACCUCUGUUUAUUUUUGGAACACAGUUUAAGAU